rnacentral:lncRNA from 1 species
GAAAAUGGUUAAUGGCAUCAGUAAGUUCUAAUCAUGACCCCUUUGUUGAUCAUUCAAUGUGUUUUUAAUGGUUCCCAUAUACUGUUGUUUGAGUAAUUAUUUAUCUAUAGAUAUUUAUUAAUAACUUGAUUAGAAUAUUACCAGUUUACACAACUUAGAACUAUAUUUGGCAUUUUUUUUUCUUUUUUUUUAACUUUUUUGGAUUCGAGGUUUACUGAUGAGUCUUUUGUAGACGAAAUGUGCAUCUGGCGUAAAAUUGUAAAUACAAAAUUUAAUCCUGGUAUCUUUGAUGAGUUUAUUAGUACAUGUAGUAAAUGGGCUAUUGAUAAUGGUAUAAAAUUUCUUGGACUAAUCCUAGAUAAAUAUGUUGAGGAUUUUACGAUCAUAAAUCACCAACCCAUAAUUCUUAACAUGGGUAUAAUUUUGUGUUCCCAUUUUUAUUUUUUUUACCGAGCAAGUACUUGAGUAUCGCUCUGUAAAUCAAACAAGUAAUCAAAUAGUAAAUCUUCACCGAGUUGACAUCCUU